ACGCUGGCGGCAGGCUUAACACAUGCAAGUCGAACGGUAACAGGAAUUAGCUUGCUAAUUUGCUGACGAGUGGCGGACGGGUGAGUAAUGCUUGGGAAUCUGGCUUAUGGAGGGGGAUAACUACGGGAAACUGUAGCUAAUACCGCGUAAAAUCUUCGGAUUAAAGGGUGGGACUUUCGAGCCACCUGCCAUAAGAUGAGCCCAAGUGGGAUUAGGUAGUUGGUUAGGUAAAGGCUGACCAAGCCGAUGAUCUCUAGCUGGUCUGAGAGGAUGACCAGCCACACUGGAACUGAGACACGGUCCAGACUCCUACGGGAGGCAGCAGUGGGGAAUAUUGCACAAUGGGGGGAACCCUGAUGCAGCCAUGCCGCGUGAAUGAAGAAGGCCUUCGGGUUGUAAAGUUCUUUCGGUGACGAGGAAGGUUGAUAGGUUAAUAGCCUAUCAAAUUGACGUUAAUCACAGAAGAAGCACCGGCUAACUCCGUGCCAGCAGCCGCGGUAAUACGGGGGGUGCGAGCGUUAAUCGGAAUAACUGGGCGUAAAGGGCACGCAGGCGGUGACUUAAGUGAGAUGUGAAAGCCCCGAGCUUAACUUGGGAAUUGCAUUUCAUACUGGGUCGCUAGAGUACUUUAGGGAGGGGUAGAAUUCCACGUGUAGCGGUGAAAUGCGUAGAGAUGUGGAGGAAUACCGAAGGCGAAGGCAGCCCCUUGGGGAUGUACUGACGCUCAUGUGCGAAAGCGUGGGGAGCAAACAGGAUUAGAUACCCUGGUAGUCCACGCUGUAAACGAUGUCGAUUUGGGGAUUGGGCUUUGAGCUUGGUGCCCGUAGCUAACGUGAUAAAUCGACCGCCUGGGGAGUACGGCCGCAAGGUUAAAACUCAAAUGAAUUGACGGGGGCCCGCACAAGCGGUGGAGCAUGUGGUUUAAUUCG
rnacentral:rRNA from 1 species